UACGGGGGGGGGCAAGCGUUGUUCGGAAUUACUGGGCGUAAAGGGCUCGUAGGCGGCCAACUAAGUCCGACGUGAAAUCCCCCAGGCUUAACCUGGGAACUGCGUCGGAUACUGGAUGGCUUGAAUCCGGGAGAGGGAUGCGGAAUUCCAGGUGUAGCGGUGAAAUGCGUAGAUAUCUGGAGGAACACCGGUGGCGAAGGCGGCAUCCUGGACCGGCAUUGACGCUGAGGAGCGAAAGCCAGGGGAGCAAACGGGG
rnacentral:rRNA from 1 species